ACGAACGCUGGCGGCGUGCCUAAUACAUGCAAGUUGAGCGCUGAAGGUUGGUACUUGUACCCACUGGAUGAGCAGCGAACGGGUGAGUAACGCGUGGGGAAUCUGCCUUUGAGCGGGGGACAACCUUUGGAAACGAAUGCUAAUACCGCAUAAAAACUUUAAACACCAGUUUUAAGUUUGAAAGAUGCAAUUGCAUCACUCAAAGAUGAUCCCGCGUUGUAUUAGCUAGUUGGUGAGGUAAAGGCUCAACAAGGCGAUGAUACAUAGCCGACCUGAGAGGGUGAUCGGCCAAAUUGGGACUGAGACACGGCCCAAACUCCUACGGGAGGCAGCAGUAGGGAAUCUUCGGCAAUGGACGAAAGUCUGACCGAGCAACGCCGCGGGAGUGAAGAAGGUUUUCGGGUCGUAAAAAUCUGUUGGUAGAGAAGAACGUUGGUGAGAGUGGAAAGCUCAUCAAGUGACGGUAACUACCCAGAAAGGGACGGCUAACUACGUG
rnacentral:rRNA from 1 species